rnacentral:misc_RNA from 1 species
UCCAAGUAAUCAAAUCUUAUAUCUAAUGCUAUUAGUGUUGCAAGAUUUUAAAUAUGUGAUUAUUUCAGAUAAAAUUAUUUUUGGAAUUUGUAAUCAAGUAAGUGAAAAAAAAAUCAAAAUCUUAUUCUUGUAGAAUAUUAGGAUAGAAAAUUUUCAUUUCAGAUUAGGAUAUUGCUUUCCUAAAUCUGUCCAAGUCCAGAACUUUUUUCCUCUUCAAACCAUUUAAAUGACUUCGAUUGUUUUUUUCAUGUAAGUGGAAAAAACACUUCAUAAGAAUACAGCUUAUUAUUGUGUUAUUAAUAUAAAGUGCACUAGGGUUUAAGUCUCUGUACCUGGUAAAUUCAUCAACUCUGCUG